UAACGCGAAGAACCUUACCAGGGUUUGACAUCCUGCGAAUCUCUUGGAAACAGGAGAGUGCCUUCGGGAACGCAGUGACAGGUGGUGCAUGGCUGUCGUCAGCUCGUGUCGUGAGAUGUUGGGUUAAGUCCCGCAACGAGCGCAACCCACGUCUUUAGUUGCCAGCAUUUAGUUGGGCACUCUAGAGAGACUGCCGGUGAUAAACCGGAGGAAGGUGUGGAUGACGUCAAGUCAUCAUGCCCCUUACAUCCUGGGCUACACACGUACUACAAUGGCCGGUACAGAGAGCAGCCACUACGCGAGUAGGAGCGAAUCUACAAAACCGGUCUCAGUUCGGAUCGCAGUCUGCAACUCGACUGCGUGAAGCUGGAAUCGCUAGUAAUCGCAUAUCAGCCAUGAUGCGGUGAAUACGUUCCCGGGUCUUGUACACA
rnacentral:rRNA from 1 species